AUUGAACGCUGGCGGCAUGCCUUACACAUGCAAGUCGAACGGUAACAGGUCUUCGGAUGCUGACGAGUGGCGAACGGGUGAGUAAUACAUCGGAACGUGCCCGAUCGUGGGGGAUAACGAAGCGAAAGCUUUGCUAAUACCGCAUAAGAUCUACGGAUGAAAGCAGGGGACCGCAAGGCCUUGCGCGAACGGAGCGGCCGAUGGCAGAUUAGGUAGUUGGUGGGAUAAAAGCUUACCAAGCCGACGAGCUGUAGCUGGUCUGAGAGGACGACCAGCCACACUGGGACUGAGACACGGCCCAGACUCCUACGGGAGGCAGCAGUGGGGAAUUUUGGACAAUGGGCGAAAGCCUGAUCCAGCCAUGCCGCGUGCAGGAUGAAGGCCUUAGGGUUGUAAAGCUCUUUCGGACGGGAAGAAAUUGGUGGGGCUAAUAUCCCCAUCGGAUGACGGUACCGUAAUAAGAAGCACCGGCUAACUACGUGCCAGCCGCCGCCGUAAAAC
rnacentral:rRNA from 1 species